rnacentral:lncRNA from 1 species
GUCUGAUUUGAAUUGUAGUUGGGCUCCACAAAUUUCAGCAUGUCUAAGUAUCAAAUUAUUUUAUAUGGACAGCUGUUUCCAUCUCAUGAUCCUCUCCUUCCCUGCAUUCCAUGCUCUUCUCUUCUCUGCUAUCGACUCUUCGCCACUUAGGGACUCUAGAUCUCCCAUGCUGAAAUGUGUCUCUUUCACUAUCCUGUUCUCUUCUCCACAUCAAAGGGAUUUGCUUUUCUAUUGGUUGUUUCUACUUGCAAAUAAGGUUGCUGGAGCAUUAGAGAAGUAAUUUAAAUCAUUCACCACAGGAGUAUCUCAAUCUACUCGGGGUUCCAAAUAUCUAUCACGAACUGAAUAUUUUGUAGGUGUAAAUAGGUUUGCCACAUUCUUUUAGCUUUUUUUUUAUUGGAACCAUACUAUGCAUGCCAUCCAUGCGUUUAUGUGAAUGGUUCAUCCAUAU